GGUCAUGAUGAAUGGGGGCAGAAACAACAAACGUAAUUUUGUUCAGUGUAUAACGAGACACCAUAAUAAUAUGAAAUAGAUGUAUGCAAUAAAAAUAUUUCACAUUGUAAUCUUUUUCUUUUAAAUUUUUUGUAUGUUUGUGUGCUGCUGUAUGUGACAGGCAUAGUUUAAAUGUGUAGUGCAUCCACCUAAUUGUCGCACUGCAUCGAGCAGGGAGGUGACAUCUGGUGUGUUGUGUGUCUGUGUUUGAGUUUAUUGUCCUUUUUUGAGUGUGUGAGAUGCUUGGUGGGUUUUAGUUUUGUCUGUCUACGUGUGGUGUCUCUCCUUCUCCCUCUCGCUGGUCUUUUCCUUCCUCUCCCUCAGGGCGGAGUUGUGGGCUGCAUCUCCGGUAGCUGGGCGUUUCUCACCCACUGCAGGCAAUCAGCGUUUCACACACCUGUCUCCUGUGAUCAUCAGGACUGGCUUAUAUACCCUGCCAUCUCCUCAGUUCCCCGCUGAUUUAUUAAGUCUUGUUUCGUCUUUGGAGACCCUGCUCUGCUCUUGUGUUGCUCAGUCACGGAGAGCGCCUGGCUGGAGAAUUCCCCACCACAGACUCACUUCUCUGUCAGCCCUGUUACCUGCCUUGCCACAUUGAAGGAACCUUACCCCCAGCCUCGAGCUUAUCAAACCAUAUCUUGUGUUCAAUAAACCGUGUGAAUAUCCUUC